GAUGAACGCUGGCGGCGUGCCUAAUACAUGCAAGUCGAGCGAACAGAUAAGGAGCUUGCUCCUUUGACGUUAGCGGCGGACGGGUGAGUAACACGUGGGUAACCUACCUAUAAGACUGGAAUAACUCCGGGAAACCGGGGCUAAUGCCGGCUAACAUUUAGAACCGCAUGGUUCUAAAGUGAAAGAUGGUUUUGCUAUCACUUAUAGAUGGACCCGCGCCGUAUUAGCUAGUUGGUAAGGUAACGGCUUACCAAGGCAACGAUACGUAGCCGACCUGAGAGGGUGAUCAGCCACACUGGAACUGAGACACGGUCCAGACUCCUACGGGAGGCAGCAGUAGGGAAUAUUCCGCAAUGGGCGAAAGCCUGACGGAGCAACGCCGCGUGAGUGAUGAAGGUCUUCGGAUCGUAAAACUCUGUUAUUAGGGAAGAACAAAUGUGUAAGUAACUGUGCACGUCUUGACGGUACCUAAUCAGAAAGCCACGGCUAACUACGUG
rnacentral:rRNA from 1 species